AGAGUUUGAUCCUGGCUCAGGCCUAACACAUGCAAGUCGAACGGUAACAGGAAGAAGCUUGCUUCUUUGCUGACGAGUGGCGGACGGGUGAGUAAUGUCUGGGAAACUGCCUGAUGGAGGGGGAUAACUACUGGAAACGGUAGCUAAUACCGCAUAACGUCGCAAGACCAAAGAGGGGGACCUUCGGGCCUCUUGCCAUCGGAUGUGCCCAGAUGGGAUUAGCUAGUAGGUGGGGUAACGGCUCACCUAGGCGACGAUCCCUAGCUGGUCUGAGAGGAUGACCAGCCACACUGGAACUGAG
rnacentral:rRNA from 1 species